rnacentral:rRNA from 1 species
UACGUAGGGUGCAAGCGUUAUCCGGAAUUAUUGGGCGUAAAGAGCUCGUAGGCGGUUUGUCGCGUCUGCUGUGAAAACCCGAGGCUCAACCUCGGGCCUGCUUCCGAUACGGGCAGACUAGAGGUAGGCAGGGGAGAGCGGAAUUCCUGGUGUAGCGGUGGAAUGCGCAGAUAUCAGGAGGAACACCGGUGGCGAAGGCGGGAUCCUGGGCCGAUACUGACGCUGAGGAGCGAAAGCGUGGGGAGCGAACAGG